rnacentral:rRNA from 1 species
GACGGAGGGGGCUAGCGUUGUUCGGAAUUACUGGGCGUAAAGAGCGCGUAGGCGGUUUGAUAAGUUGGGAGUGAAAGCCCGGGGCUUAACCUCGGAACUGCUCUCAAAACUAUUGAACUAGAGUAUGGUAGGGGGUGAUGGAAUUCCUAGUGUAGAGGUGAAAUUCUUAGAUAUUAGGAGGAACACCGGUGGCGAAGGCGGUCACCUGGGCCAUUACUGACGCUGAGGUGCGAAAGCGUGGGGAGCAAACAGG